UACGUAGGUGGCAAGCGUUGUCCGGAUUUAUUGGGUUUAAAGGGUGCGUAGGUGGUCUAUUAAGUCAGUGCUGAAAUAUCCCGGCUUAACCGGGAGGGUGGCAUUGAUACUGAUAGACUUGAGUAGAGUUGAGGUAGGCGGAAUUGACGGUGUAGCGGUGAAAUGCUUAGAUAUCGUCAAGAACACCGAUAGCGAAGGCAGCUUACUGGGCUGUAACUGACGCUGAGGCACGAAAGUGUGGGGAUCAAACAGG
rnacentral:rRNA from 1 species